AGAGCUCAAAUUUAAAAUCUGGCAGCCUUGCUGUCCGAGUUGUAAUCUGGAGAAGCAUUUUCCGCGUUGGACCGUGUACAAGUCUCUUGGAACAGAGCGUCAUAGAGGGUGAGAAUCCCGUCCAUGGCACGGACUACCAAUGCUUUGUGAUAUGCUCUCGAAGAGUCGAGUUGUUUGGGAAUGCAGCUCAAAAUGGGUGGUAAGUUCCAUCUAAAGCUAAAUAUUGGCGAGAGACCGAUAGCGAA
rnacentral:rRNA from 1 species